UUAUAUUGAAUAAAAUGAAAAUAAAUAGUUUUAAUACUUUGAAUAGUAAAUUUGCAAAUUUCAAACCCCACAACGUUACAACAAAUAUCUCUCUCCUUUUUUCUCUUUCUUCUUUUUAAAACUCACAAGAAUCAUCUAACCAUUUUUGCUAUGGCGUGGGAUCCUCGAUGGUGUCAGAGCCAUCGACUCAGCUGUCUUGGUAUGUUGACACAUUUAUUCUAGGUGGUGGUGGUGUGUGUUAACGGCUUGGCGUGUGAUGACGAGUCGUCUAUGGCUCAAUCUCUUUCCUUGUUUCGUGAUGCUUCCUCCUUGCUCUUCUUCUAGUUUCGUCUCUUCUUAGUGCACUCAAGGUAGUCGUCCCGAAGGUUUACCAUUGGGUUUCUCAUUGGUUCUACUAGCGGCUAUUCUAUUUUCUCUAGUCAAGCUUUUGGUUCCGUUUUUCGCCGUUUCUCAUGGACUAUCGUUAACGAGUCUUUUUCCUCUGUGCAUCAGUUUGGUCAGGUCUCUAUUCUUCUGAGGAGUAUAACAUCCUUGCUCCAGAGUUCCUCCUCUCUGCGAGUGCAUUCGGGUGGUUGUGAUUUUCCGGCGAUUGUAGGUCUUAGUGGCAUUUGGUAGGGACUGCGGUUACCUCCCAACCCUCUUGCUCGCCGGUUUCUUUAGAUCGUCGUUUGUAAGUAUUGUGUUGUUGUAUUAUCGGAACUGGAGCUUCAGUGUCAAAAAAUAAAUUAAAUAUUAUUAUUAAAAACUUACAAAUUUGAAGAAUUGGGGAAUUGAAAUCAUAUUGAAAAGCAAAUAAUCUUGAAAUUUAAAAGUUUUAAAACAUGUUAAAAAUGCUGAAAGGAUCACUAUGUUUAGGUGAAUAUGCGUGCUUUUCUUGAGUAUUCUUGAUAAACCAGUGUUUAUAUACUAAAAAGAUGGUUAACGUGGAUUUUAUGAGUAUGUCCAAUAUAAAAACUUGUAGUUUGAUGGAAUGGAAUAUAAAUGGUAAGGAUUACGAUCUAACAUAAUGAAGGUAUAAUAAGUGGAAAACCUAGGAUAGUUUUUAAUUGGGUCAUGAAGGAGUUUUACUCUAAAUUUAGUGGGAUAAAAAUAUUUUUUUCGUCAUUUUAUUAUCAUUAAUCAAUAAAAUUUUAAUUUAAAAUAUAAUUUAUUUAAGAUUUAAGGGUGUUACUUGAACCCAACAUGAUCAUUGGGGGUUCUUAGAGUGGGGUUGUUAGCGGAAUAUAAGAACUCGUCUCUUAACUUUUAACUAAAAAAGUUAAGACCUGGCUCUUAAAACUCUUAUUUAAGAACCAGUUCUUAGUUUUUUUAGUUAAAAGCUAAGAGACGGGUUCUUAUAUUCCGAUAAGAACUCCACCCCAAGAACUCCCAAUAAUCAUGCUCUUAGCUUUAUGUGGGUCUGCCAUUAGGUACAAUCUAACAGAAGGAUUGUAGUAUGAAAAAAAUGCAAUGCAACAGAUAAUUGCUGUCUAAUGUUAGUAUUGUGGUUUAGCGGGACAUAAUGUGAAAUAUAACAAGAGGACUAUAUUAUUAGAGAAAAAAAGAGAGUGCAUGACAAAGAUUACAGUCUAACAAUACAAAUGUGCAAUCUGACAUCACAUGAACAAGAAGUCUGAUAAAAUGAGUUUUGCAUGCCGGUACAAAAUAUGAAAUAUAACAGAUGAUUGUGGCUUGAUAGAACUAACGUGCAUUAUGAUGAAAAGGUUGCAACAUGACAGUACAUGGAAUACAAUAUUACAUGAACAAUGCAGUUUGAUGGUAUGAGAAGCACAUAUUGACGACACAAUAGUGCGGUGAAGUGACUACAAUCUCACGGUAUAAUGAGGUUAUCUGAUGGAAGGGUGAAGGUCUGAGAGAAGUAGAUUUGUAACGAUCCGCUUCCCCGUGUCCGAUCCAAGGUUCAGAGCGCGGUGUUAUAAACAUGACAAAUUAUUUUUAAAAAUUUACUUAAGAAACAAAUUUACUUAAGAAACAUGACAAAUUAUUUUUAAAAAAAAUCUAGGUUAAAUGGAAGAACACUUCAAUUUUGUUUUAGAUGAGAAUUAAUAGAUGUAAUCGAAUACCUUGUAUGAAGAAAUGUGAGAUUUUGACGAAAUUGAUGGAAGAACACUUCGUAAUUUGAUUUGACCCGUCUGAGGAAAAGGAAAAACACUUCGAUUUCGUUGUAUCUUCAGUGAGAUCAAAGAGGAGGAUGACCAAAACGAGAGUAGAGACUACGGGCAGAUGAAACACCAACGAAGAACAAGGCUUCUCUCCGUUUAACCCUAAAUCGCCAUGGAAGAGCCACGAU
rnacentral:lncRNA from 1 species